UACGUAGGGUGCGAGCGUUAAUCGGAAUUACUGGGCGUAAAGGGUGCGUAGGCGGCUAUAUAAGUUAGAUGUGAAAUCCCCGAGCUUAACUUGGGAAUGGCAUUUAAGACUGUAUGUCUAGAGUCUGUAAGAGGGGGGUAGAAUUCCGAGUGUAGCAGUGAAAUGCGUAGAGAUUCGGAGGAACACCAGUGGCGAAGGCGGCCCCCUGGUAUAAGACUGACGCUGAGGCACGAAAGCGUGGGUAGCAAACAGG
rnacentral:rRNA from 1 species